AGUCUUCGUUCGGCAGGCGAUUGCUUACGAUGUGCGGUGUAAUCGGCAGGCAGAGGAAUCUGGUGAGAAUCCAGAACGGUCGCGCCACUGUGUCAAGUCAGACCCACUGCCUGCCGUCCACCUCC
rnacentral:ncRNA from 1 species